CCAGAUUUAGUAUUAAAUAGUAAUAAUCAAAUACCUCUAUAAAGGAAUUUUGAUGCUUUCAUACGUAGUUUUUCAUAUGUUUUAGAAGAAUAUUUUUGAAUUUAUUUUUACAAUUUAAAUAAUUUCCCAAAAAAAAAAAAAAAAAAAAGAGUUGCCACCAACAGGUGUGUUCUAGCCUAUGAGUGAAACAACACUUGUAACACUAUAGUGAUCAAAGUCCGCCGAUAUAUCUAAUGGUGUUAGAGGUGGUCUAAAUCACCUCAUUUUACAGCAAUUUUCAAAAAAUCCAGAACCAACUGUUUUUAAAUCAAGGGACUCACGUCUGGACAGACGAGGAGACCCACUUUCUGAUUUUUUUUUUUUUAAAUUUCAAAACUCAAAUCGCACACCGGAUCUUCAAUCUAAUCAAAAUCAACCGAAGUGUUAGUGUGCCCGAGUUUGAAGCUCGCCAGAUCAGACGGUGAAGAAGGCGUCCGACGCUGCUAUGGAGAAGAUGCAGCUCCGUCAAAGCUACCAGAACAUGUGGCACAGUGACCUCUUGGGUUCCAUUAAAAAAGACACUCCUUAUUGCUGCUUUGCGGUUUUCUGGUGAGAAUUUUAAAUCUUCAUUUUUUAUUCUUAUUAAUUGCGGUUACGGAUCUGUUAAUUAUCAGUCUAGGGUUUAUUUUGUUUGAUAAAAUUUUAAUUUGUGGUUAUUAAAUUCGCUAAUUUAGGUUAAAUUUCUUUAACCUAUUCUUUACUUGAAACUUUAUAGUUAAUUAUAUAUCAUGUCCAUUUUGUUUCUUAUAAAAAAUGUUGCAGUACUUGAAACAGGGUAAUGCUUAUAAAGUUAGGAUCUCAAUUUUUCUAUCUCACUCGUGUGGCAGUUGAUUUGACAAGUAAUUCACUUUUCUCAUCGCUCUAGAGAUGUUGUGAAAUCAUUAUUAGCAUUUUUGUUUGAAAUAUUAUACAUUACUGUUAGGUUUAGCUAGAUUGCUCUACUCUGUUUAGUACAACUUGUUAAUAUAUUCCAUACUGAACGUUGCAAUUGUAUUUGUCUUGACAUACUGUUAAAUUAACUGCUCUUAAUUCUUUCUUGAGUUUCCGUUUUUCACUUUAAUCUUUACCUCUCUUUCCUGGGGAAUGAAUUAGACCAUUCUGCAAUAAUUUUUUAUUUUCUGAUUUUUGCUGAUCUGGUUUUGAUUACUUUUUUAAUUUAUGAGAUAUUUAAUUAUAAAAUGUUUGCUCCUUUGCAUCGCAAUGCAAUGCAUCUGGUUCGCCUUUGUUUAUUGUAGUCCCCCAUGUGUAUCUUACAUACUUCGGAAACUCCCUAAACCCUAAACCCUAAACCCUAAACCCGAGCACUUUACAAUGACAUGUCCAGGUACUUCUGAUUCUGUUUAACUCUGAUCUGAGCUGUUUUAAUAUGUAAUAUUUUGGUGUAAUUGUAGUUUCAUCUUGUUUUUCAUAGGUAUGUCUGUUGUGCUGGUUAUAUGCCCUGCAGCGGCAAGUGUUAUGAAAGUUCUUGUAGUGAACUUUGCCUUGGCACUGAGGAUGAAUUCAACAUCCAGACAACUCGCUGUGAUAAUUUUAUUAUUGUACUGCUGUAAAUAUCUCUCAUCUGUAAUUAUGUAUGCACUUAUUUACCAUUUGUUAAUCAUGUUUAUUUGUUGAUAAACAGGGGUUUAUGUUAUGCCUUCAACAAGUUGCAUGCAUAUUUUCCAUGGUUGCAUGCAUUGUUGGAAGUGAUGAACUUCGGGAGGCUUCUCAGAUUUUGAAUUUGUUGGCUGAUCUAGUUUAUUGCACGGUUUGUGCAUGCAGGUAGGUAUGCAACUAUGCAAUUGACUCACUCUUAUAUAUGAGUUUAUGCCCAACGGAUCUCUUGAGAAGCUCAUUUUCUCAAAGAUAAACAACUCAAAUCAUCGUCCAUGGAGUUGGGAGAAGCUACUAAACAUUGCAAUUGGUGUUGCACGUGGAAUAGAGUACUUGCAUCAAGGAUGUAACCAAAGGAUCCUUCUUUUUGAUAUCAAGCCACACAAUAUAUUACUAAAACAUAAUUUUCAACCAAAGAUUUCAGAUUUUAGGCUUGCCAAGCUAUGCUCAAAAGAAUAAAGCAUCGUAUCAUUGACAGUUACUCGAGGAACUACUGGCUAUAUUGCUCUAGAGCUCUUCUCCAGAUACUUUGGAGUGGUAUCUUAUAAGUCUGAUGUGUAUAGCUAUGGAAUGAUGUUAUUAGAGAUGGUUGGAUGCCAAGAGAAUAUGGAUAUUACAAUUGAGAAUGAAAGCCAAAUUUACAUUCCUGAGUGGAUGUACAACAAAAUGAGCCAAGGAAAGGAGCUUUAUCUAGAAAUUGAGGUAGAUGGAGACGAGGAAAUUGCCAAGAAGCUUGCAAUUGUUGCACUUUGGUGCAUUCAAUGGAAUCCAACAGAGAGGCCUUCAAUGCCAGUGGUUAUACAAAUGCUUGAAGGUGACUCACAAAGGUUAGAGAUGCCUCCGAAGCCUUUUGUUUCUUCAGAUGUUGAAAUGUGUUAAAAAAUUAUUUAUUAAUAAUGCCAUUUGAAACAUAAUGUAUUAAAUUUGAGAUAUUUGAUUAUGCUUACGAAGUACCAGUUCUCUUUCAUUUA